GACGAACGCUGGCGGCACGCCUAACACAUGCAAGUCGAACGGACUUAAAAGAGCUUGCUUCUUUAAGUUAGUGGCGGACGGGUGAGUAACACGUGAGCAACCUGCCUUUGAGAGGGGGAUAGCUUCUGGAAACGGAUGGUAAUACCCCAUAAAAUAUAAAUAUCGCAUGAUAGAUAUAUCAAAGAAAUUCGAUCAGAGAUGGGGGGGCGUCUGAUUAGAUAGUUGGUGAGGUAACUGCUCACCAAGUCGACGAUCAGUAGCCGGACUGAGAGGUUGAACGGCCACAUUGAGACUGGGCCACGGCCGGGACUCCUGCAGGAGGGAGGAGUGGGGGAUAUAGCAAAAUGGAGGGGGCGCAGAAGCAGCGAUGGCGGGUAAGGGAAGAAGGUUUGCAAAUUAUAAACUCCUUUUAUCAGGGACGGUAAUGACGGUACCUGAAGAAAAAGCACCGGCUAACUACGUG
rnacentral:rRNA from 1 species